rnacentral:piRNA from 1 species
UGAGUAAACACUAAAGCUAUGAUUCAGU